UAAGAGGUCCCGCCUGCCCUGUGACUAUACGUUUAACGGCCGCGGUAUUUUGACCGUGCGAAGGUAGCGCAAUCACUUGUCUCUUAAAUGGGGACCUGUAUGAAUGGCAUGACGAGGGUUUAACUGUCUCCUUUUUCAAGUUAAUGAAAUUGAUCCCCCCGUGCAGAAGCGGGGAUACGAACAUAAGACGAGAAGACCCUAUGGAGCUUUAGGCAACAAGCAGACCGUACAAAAUGUCCCCUAAUUAAAGGAACAAAACAUACGAAACCUGACCCAAUGCCUUUGGUUGGGGCGACCGCGGGGAAACAAAAAACCCCCAUGUGGAAUGGGACCACACCCUCCAAACAAGAGCCCCCGCUCUAAAAAACAGAACAUCUGACCUACAAGAUCCGGAAGCCGAUCAACGGACCGAGUUACCCUAGGGAUAACAGCGCAAUCCCCUUAUAGAGCCCAUAUCGACAAGGGGGUUUACGACCUCGAUGUUGGAUCAGGAUAUCCUAAUGGUGCAGCCGCUAUUAAGGGUUCGUU
rnacentral:rRNA from 2 species